AACGAACGCUGGCGGCAUGCCUAACACAUGCCAGUCGAACGAGACCUUCGGGUCUAUUGGCGCACGGGUGCGUAACGCGUGGGAACCUGCCCUUAGGUUCGGAAUAACUCCCCGAAAGGGGUGCUAAUACCGGAUAAUGUCUUCGGACCAAAGAUUUAUCGCCUUUGGAUGGGCCCGCGUUGGAUUAGCUAGUUGGUAGGGUAAAAGCCUACCAAGGCGACGAUCCAUAGCUGGUCUGAGAGGAUGAUCAGCCACACUGGGACUGAGACACGGCCCAGACUCCUACGGGAGGCAGCAGUGGGGAAUAUUGGACAAUGGGCGAAAGCCUGAUCAAGCAAUGCCGCGUGAGUGAUGAAGGCCUUAGGGUUGUAAAGCUCUUUUACCCGGGAUGAUAAUGACAGUACCGGGAGAAUAAGCACCGGCUAACUCCGUG
rnacentral:rRNA from 1 species